UACGUAGGGUGCAAGCGUUGUCCGGAAUUAUUGGGCGUAAAAGAGCUCGUAGGCGGUUUUGUCGCGUCUGCUGUGAAAACCCCAGGGCUUAACCCUGGGCCUGCAGUGGGGUACGGGCAAACUAGAGUGCGGUAGGGGGAGAUCGGAAUUCCUGGUGUAGCGGUGAAAAUGCGCAGAUAUCAGGAGGAACACCGGUGGCGAAGGCGGAUCUCUGGG
rnacentral:rRNA from 1 species